rnacentral:rRNA from 1 species
AGAACGAACGCUGGCGGCAGGCCUAACACAUGCAAGUCGAACGCGACCUUCGGGUCGAGUGGCGCACGGGUGAGUAACGCGUGGGAAUCUGCCCUGUGGUACGGAAUAACAUCGGGAAACUGGUGCUAAUACCGUAUAUCCCCUGAGGGGGAAAGAUUUAUCGCCAUAGGAGGAGCCCGCGUAGGAUUAGCUAGUUGGUGAGGUAACGGCUCACCAAGGCGACGAUCCUUAGCUGGUCUGAGAGGAUGAUCAGCCACACUGGGACUGAGACACGGCCCAGACUCCUACGGGAGGCAGCAGUGGGGAAUAUUGGACAAUGGGGGAAACCCUGAUCCAGCCAUGCCGCGUGUGUGAUGAAGGCCUUCGGGUUGUAAAGCACUUUCGCACGUGACGAUGAUGACGGUAACGUGAGAAGAAGCCCGGCUAACUUCGCGCCAGCAGCCGC